GCCGGGCGUGGUGGCUCAAGCCUGUAAUCCCAGCACUUUGGGAGACCGAGACGGGCGGAUCACGAGGUCAGGAGAUCGAGACCAUCCUGGCUAACACGGUGAAAACCCGUCUCUACUAAAAAAAAUACAAAAACAAGCAGGGCGAGGUGGCCGGCGCCUGUAGUCCUAGCUACUGNNNNNNNNNNCAGUAGCUAGGACUACAGGCGCCGGCCACCUCGCCCUGCUUGUUUUUGUAUUUUUUUUAGUAGAGACGGGUUUUCACCGUGUUAGCCAGGAUGGUCUCGAUCUCCUG
rnacentral:SRP_RNA from 1 species